AUGGGUAUAAAUGUCCCUCCGACCUGAGACCGCCAUGGUGACUUGCAAGCAACUCACUGCACUUAGGCACUGGACUACCUGAAUUUCUAAUUUAGUGAUGGAAGGCUGCUGGGUGUAGUCAAGUACUUGACUUGUCGGUGCGUGUGUCAAGAUGGGAUUGACCACUCCAGUUUAGGAGCUGUGUACAGUCAUGAUUUAAUUUAGCAAAACCUUAGCCAGGGUAGUCAUUGUGAGGAGUCACAGGACUGUUUGAGUUGAGCACGAUUCGGAUGAUCUAAUCAGGGUGGACAGUUUAACCCUGAGUCAUCCUAAACACAGAGGUCAAAAGG
rnacentral:lncRNA from 1 species